GUCCGGGUCCUGCGGCGGGCGGCUGGAUGGCGAGCGGAGACGGGAGGCCUGGGCUUGGGCAGCGGUGGCGGUGUCCUGGCCCCGCCGGUGACGGAGGGCUUUGAUGAGGCCCGGCGGCCGCGUGCUUGCCAGGAAGGCCCGGGGCUUGAGGCCCUGGAAGGCCUGGCCCGUUCAGGAGUCCCGGCUGUUUGGGGGAAUGUCCCACGCCCUGUGGGGAUUUGAGCCGUGUCUCCCGGCCGACUUGGGUGUCCCGGUUGGUGUGUGGUCGGGACUGGGAGGGGCUUGGUGCGGGCGGGAACCGCCGGGUAGCGACCACGUCUCGUCAGGGGGUUCGUGCCUGCUGCUGGGCACGGGAACGGCUCCGGGGGGGUCUUACGGGCGCUGAGGGGAUUCCGCAUCAUGGAGAGGUCAAGGGGAGUUGGUGGCCGUCACCCUUCGUCAGGGCAGGGUAGCAUCAGUGCGCCCGUGCUGGGGUUCCUGGAGAGCCGGCUGGCACGGACAGACUCUUGUGAGGGCAAGUGGCUAAUCGUGCGUCGGAUGGGUCCAGCAAAGGAGAGAAAGCUUCGGUGCGCGCGCGCUCGCCAGGGAAAGGGUGACAGCGGGUGGGACCCAGAGGGAGAGAACAAAGGAAGAGAGAGGGUUUCCGCAGGGGCGGUGAGUCCUGGCGGAAGUCCUGAGGCAGAGGAGGUGCCAGGGGUUUGGGUUUCCCGGUCGUGUCGGGGGUGUGGCGCAGGUUGCCCCAGUGGGCCUGAAUGUGCCUCCGUGGGGCACCUUGUUGCCGUGUUGGGGGGCGGGGAGCCGGCCUUGGGGAUCCAUCUUUCGGGCCCUGGGACGUGGGAGAAGAAUGCCGGGGCCUCUCUCUGUGCCCCUGGCACGCCUCUGUGCAGGCCGGGCCUGCACCCCCCCCCGCGCCCGUCCCCCAGGCAGGGUCCGUGUGGCUGCAGACACCCAGAGAGAGGGGAGGCUGGGGAGGCUGGGGAGCCGUGGCAGCCCGAUGCAGUGCGGGUCUCCAGGUGGAGGGGCCCUGGUCCCCUGGCGCCAGCGUGGCCCUUCCUCCUUGUGGAAACCCUUGUGGUGUGUGUGCUCUCUCGCCCUGACCCAGGAGAGCAGCAUGGCGGACCCCUGAUCUUGUGGCGUGCCACCGCGCGAGGCCGAGGAGCUCCCGCAGCCCAGUGGGCGUGGCGUCCUUGUCGCGGCUCUGUGGAGACCUGGCGAUGGAGAGCAGCAUGGCGGACCCCUGAUCUUGUGGCGUGCCACCGCGCGAGGCCGAGGAGCUCCCGCAGCCCAGUGGGCGUGGCGUCCUUGUCGCGGCUCUGUGGAGACCUGGCGAUGGAGAGCAGCAUGGCGGACCCCUGAUCUUGUGGCGUGCCACCGCGCGAGGCCGAGGAGCUCCCGCAGCCCAGUGCGCGUGGCGUCCUUGUCGCGGCUCUGUGGAGACCUGGCGAUGGUGAGCGGCCCCUGUCCUCAGUGGUGGAGAACUCGCCCUUGGGGCGCUCGUCUGUCCGGAGCCCCGGGCCAGCCCCGCUUCUCGCGGGCUUUGGCCCCGGCAGGCCAGCUCCGGGGGCGUGAGGGGGAGCGUCCCGUCCUGCCCAGUGGCUCGUCUGUCUGGGCACGCCCCCAAACGCUGCCGUGAUGGAGCGGGUGGGAUGUCCAGGUGCGGAGGCCGUGAAUUUGCCUUGCGGCGGCGGAGCCCGUGCUCGGAUCGAUGAUGACUCCCUCUAAAGCAUUCCUUGGAAAUCUGAACAAAAUGAGUGAGAACUCACUACCGUCUCCUCAUCGAAACUGAGGUCCGGCACGUGGCGGCCACCGGGGGCUCGGGGGUAGAUGGGCCCUUGGCCUUGGGGCCUCUGGGUGUCAGCAGCCACUCGGGUGAGGUCUGGGG
rnacentral:lncRNA from 1 species